UGGGGAAUAUUGGACAAUGGGCGAAAGCCUGAUCCAGCCAUGCCGCGUGUGUGAAGAAGGUCUUCGGAUUGUAAAGCACUUUAAGUUGGGAGGAAGGGCAGUAAGCUAAUACCUUGCUGUUUUGACGUUACCGACAGAAUAAGCACCGGCUAACUCUGUGCCAGCAGCCGCGGUAAUACAGAGGGUGCAAGCGUUAAUCGGAAUUACUGGGCGUAAAGCGCGCGUAGGUGGUUCGUUAAGUUGAAUGUGAAAGCCCCGGGCUCAACCUGGGAACUGCAUCCAAAACUGGCGAGCUAGAGUAGGGCAGAGGGUGGUGGAAUUUCCUGUGUAGCGGUGAAAUGCGUAGAUAUAGGAAGGAACACCAGUGGCGAAGGCGACCACCUGGGCUCAUACUGACACUGAGGUGCGAAAGCGUGGGGAGCAAACAGG
rnacentral:rRNA from 1 species